CCGUUUGGUAAUGGAUGCCAAAUAUAUCGCUGCCUCAAUACCCCGUCUAGUAUAAGGGUGAAUUAUCCUUCCAAUUCCUUCUGGUAUGGGACUUCUCAGCCGUAUUUAACUGAAAUAAUGCCCAUGGUAGGGUUUUUCCUAUGUACCAAAUCUGUACACCUUUUUCCAGAGUACCCGAUAAGCUUUUUGUAUAUAGAUUUACAUCAUUAACACUCACCAUCCACACACCAACAUCACAUUUUACCAAUCAACAGUAAGUCAUGCAAUAGACAACACGUAAACUAAUCCACAGUAAGUCAUGCAAUUUAGACAACAC
rnacentral:lncRNA from 1 species